CUUCAGUGUUACAUGAAGUUGGGGGAGACGCUUCAUGCAAACGUUGCUGAAAUGAGUGAGAUUCAAGCUAGAACAUAGGAACAGACAGAAGCAGCUAUAAAGCAGUUUCGGAGAACCCUUAAUUUCAAAGCGACCCUUAUGCCUUCUUUUUACCAUGAAGCAAUGUCGAUAGCUUCUGAAGGGAAAAAGAUAUAUUGCUGUAUUUUGUUCAAGUAUAAUAUGAUUGUCGUUUUUUUCUUGAAGUAAAUGGUAAAAUGUUAGAAGUCAUCGUAUUGAACCAUCUACAUCAUUAUAUAGCAAAGAGGUAACUGUUUGCAUCUUUAUUUAUCACCAUUUGAAUGUUUAGCUCAAUAUUUAUUAAGUUUCACAAUAAUUGUUUUCUGGACCAAUGUCAUGCUAUUUAGGCUUACAUGUGACCCUCUGUUCAUUUCCCCCUUCUUCGGACAUUCGUUACUUUUAUGUAGAAAUGAGCAUAAUUGAUACGCACUUUGUUCAAGAAUGUUGUAGUUGACCACGAUAAUUGUUUAAUUUAGCUAUAGAUUGAUCACAAAGAUAUGAUUUGUUCAAUUAUGAUUGGAUCUGUGAGCAAUCCAAUUGAUCUGUGAUAUAUAUUCCAUAAUUUUAUAUAUUUUUACCAUUAUUUAUGUGCUAAUUUAAUCCUGAUACGAAUGUUAUUCCUUUUUUUGUUGUCCAGGUUUUGGUUUUUAGGCUUCAUGGUCUUCUCAUCAAUCUGACCACAUCCUUCUCAAAUCAGGGCUUGCUAUUGGUCACUGGUGAUAAUGAAGUUGAAAUUUGUUCAUCGGAUAGCAUUACUCCUUGCAAGAGAAAUUUGUUGGAAUCUGAUGUCGAGCACUCAGUUUCAGUAGACUUGAUUUCUCCACAAAUGUCUAGCAACAAAAAGCAAAAAACAGAUCAAGAUUGAAAAAGAGAAUGAGAAUAUUCUACAGAGAGUUCAAGCUCCUUUUUGAUAAAUCUAUAUCUGAUUCAUGAUGUCUAAAACUUAUAUUUAGUAUUUUGGUCUAAAACCUUAUUUAGUAAACUUUUAUAUGCACUACAUUUUUUUGGUUGUUUUGCGUUGAGAAACCUAGCUACUUGAUAUGAUUAUGAUAGAUAUUUUGUUUAUUAAUAUAUUGAUAAUUA